UUAAACAUUCGCUGAUUUAAGAUUAAUUUAUUAUCUUCCUGUUUUUUCUGUUGUUAUACUCAUUUCUUAUUAGAGAAUUGGUGUUGCUUGUUGACUUGCUCGAGUUGGUAUCAAGCAAUAUCUUGAUGGGAUUAACAGGAUAAGUGGCCAUUACUUGUGAACAUGUUACCCAUAAAAACCUAAACAGUUAUACGUUUAAUUUUAACAAACAAAAAAAUGCUCAUAGUGACCUGCUUAAUAUACUCUUUAAUCAUCCAACAUUUAAAUUUCUCAACAAUUAUAAUCGCAAGAAAGAUGCAAUGAAAUUCAUCAACAUGAAUCAAAGAGACAAUGUUCAUCAAUAGAAAAAUCCAUUUUUCUCACUACAAUCAUUCCAAUGGAAACCUAUUACAAUUAAGCUAAUAAAUAAUUUUGCUUUUACAUCUUAAUUUUACAUCUAAUGUUAGAAAAAAAAAUCAAAUUUCCAAGCAAUUGAUAAAAUCUAAAUCGUUUCCAAUGGAAAUGAAUCAUUUCAAAUGAUAGAAAAUCGAUGGACCGUAUAUUAAGUGCCCGAAAAUAUUCUAAUCAAAAUGACCUAAUAAGUUGUCGAUCGCGACCAUACCAAAGUCGUGAGAACUCAAAAUGAUAAAAUUCCGGUCGAGGAAAAUGACCUUCGAAUCAAUCCUAAUCCAAUUCGAAAUCGAAUCAAAUUAGUUCUUCUCAAACUGUUAUAAGAAUACGACCCCUAAUAAUUUUUCUCUUUAAAAAAAUUUCUGGUUUAACAAAUUUUCUUGUUUGUUGUUAAUUAAUUUAAUUUACUUAUUGUUUUCUACAUUUUUUUUUAUAAAAAUCUAAUCAACUGAUUGUGAUGUCCAUCUAUGUGGAUUAGAUUAACAUAUUGUCUUCUUUGAAUCUGUUUCGUUUUGUUCUUUUAAAGUAGCUGGUAUUUGGAGAAUGGAAAUUAAAUCUACUGAUGUUAGUUCAGAUGUUUCUAAGGUAACUAAUGUAAAAAGCGGUAGUAGUGGUAAAAAAACUCGAGAAAGUAAAAAGCGGAAUAAAAGAAAACAUCGUCGAGGUAAGAAGAAGAUUAAAUUGGAAAAGAAAAUUGCUGCUUUUACUGUUGUUAAAAAAAAGAAGGUGUUAAAUUAUCUUGAUUCCUGGUCAACACGUGAAGAAACCGGAGAGUGGAAAUUCAAUAAAGCAAUAAACAUUUGGUUGGUUAAAAAUUGGUCUAAUGAAGGUUUCAUGGAUGACGAUCAAUUCAAUAUUUUCUUAGAGUAUGUUGGUAGUUUUGGAUCGGAUUGUGCUGCUCGUCGACAAUUAGUAACCCGUGCAGAGAAAUUAUUACAAGAAUCAAGUCCAGAAGACACAACAUACAAACGAUGUCGAUCCUUGAUUCAGAUCUUAACCUAAAUGAUUGUUGUGAUAAUACCUGGACUUCCGGAGAUGUUUUCAUCAAUUUCUUUGUUAUCAUUUGUAUGGGACUACUUUUACUUUUCAAUUCCAUGUUGAAUGUUUAUAAACGAUAUGCCAUGAGAAAUGUUUCCUUCGAACUUUGACCAGCCCCAAUACCUCUAAUUAUUUAAUUCUUGCUGAUCGAUCUCAAUGCUAAUCUAAAAUGACCAUAACACCUAAUCAUCAAUUUCCUUCUUCCAUUUGUAAUUCGUUUUCGCGACUAAUUCAAAAACCAAGUGUAAUUGCAUCGCCUUGACAAUCGUGUAAAUUUGUUUACAUGACAACAAAUCAAUCUAAUCUUCAACUAUUGAUUUAAAUUGAAAAAUUACGAAUAAUUAAAAACAAACUUCAAGUUUUGGUUAAAAACAGUUAAUUCAACUCCUUUAGAUCAAAGUAAAUUUUUUUUCAUUCAUCAUGUAAAGUUAAUUAAGACACCAUAUCAAGGCUAAAGAAAAAUGAAAAAAAGCAAAAAUCAACGUUAAUACAAUAAACAACCAGAUAAUGAGACAAUUUUUUUUCAACGAUCCUUAAUCUAAAUUUUCUGUUGUCAUUACAAUUACGACAGCGUCGUCACGACAAUGGACACUUCGUAAGAAUAGCUGAUUUACACAGCAACCUCAUUAUCUGCUUGUUUACUGUAUUUGCUUCUUGUAUGCUUUCCAGUGGCGACUUUGUUUAGUUUUGCUUAACCUUAAUUCUCAAUUGUGUCUAAUUAAUUAUGCCUUCGCCGAUAAAAUCUUCCGAUGAUUUAUUGGAUGCCAAUAUAACAUUUAAAGAGGAUAAAGAGUUAAUCUAUCGAAAAUUGUAUCAAUUGGUAGAGACUGUCAACAUUGAUAUGGAUUAUCAAGUAUUCUGUAUCGUUGUUGAUCUAUUAAGAGCUGGAAUUUGUCCAGAAGCAUUAUUUGUAUUCUUUAAUAAGAUAUACCCUUAUACUCGGACUGGUUUGAAGCUUGCAGCUCGAAAGAAAUCAUUGUUGCGAUAAUACCUGGACUUGUGGAAAUGUUUAUAAUGCUAAUCUAAAAUUUUCUUCUUACAUAUCAAUUUGUUUCUUUUAAUUGUUAUUCGUUUUCGCGACUAAUUCAAAAACCAAGUGUGAUUGCAUCGCUUUGACAAUCUUGUAAAUUUGUUUACCUGAUAACAAAUCAAUCUAAUCUUCAACUAUUGAUUUAAAUUGAAAAGUUACAAAUAAUUAAAAACAAACUACAAUUUUUGGUUAAAAA